UUUUAAAAAGACCCGACGGAGCUCAUUGCCUUUAUUAUGCAGAAACGGGCAGCGUGGAGGUCUCGGCAUGAAUUCUGUUGGAAAGGGGAGAAAUUGUACUUUACAAUGGUAUUGCCAUUACAGUUGAUCUGGAACUAUUACGUUUUUUGGGCGCUAAAAUAAGGUCAAUUUUACGGACCAUGGCGAUGUACAAAAUAGUGACGGACAGCUGGUGGCAUUUUGAAAACACGUUUUCAAACACUUGUAGCCCGAUUAUAAGGACAACAGACUCUUUAUAGCCCGGCUACUGUAGGUGUGAACAAUCUCCCCCACCUGCAAAAAAUGACAUUGUGACCGAAGAGAAGAGAUGAAAUGGACAUUGUUUUCAUCAAGCCAGCUUCUUUCUAUGGUGUUACCCGUUCCAGGGUUAGGACCGUAACCACGAGAGGACUUGAAAAUGAGCCGGAGCUGAGAGGAUCACCAAAACUUAAGAGCGUACCAAAUGCCGACAAUCAUCCGUGGAGAUCAGUGGACAAACGGCUGGACAACGGGCUGCACCGAAAAAACACAUGGUUGCCAAGAAAGCAGUUAGUUUUACUACAUUCUUAAAAUGUGUACGCAGCAUUUGUGUGUUGGAGUCACUUUUAAUUCUUAAUUGAUCUACCAUUUCUAUCAUAGGCCACUGUAACCAAUGGAGGCUCAGGGCGGUACCAUUCUGCUCAUCUGAUUUGAUUUAGAUUUUAUUAGCAUCUCUUUUAGUCCUCAUUUGGAAUAAUCUUCCAAGAGUCCUUAAACAUUCAAAAUACAUUUUUUAAUAAGAUCACAUUUUCACAUAUAACACGCUGUUACAAACAUACAUAAUACACUAACAUAUUGACCAGAUAAAUACAGAUAUAGAUUGAUUCUUCACCUAUCAUAGUCCAGCACAACUUUCCUAUGUAUUAUAUUUAAAUGGUUUUAAAGUAUUGUUUAAAUGUAUAUAUUGAAAGGUUUCUUGUUUGCUCAGUUAAAUUAUUCCAUUUCUUUAUUGCUCUAAAUCGAAAUGUUAUUUUGCCUAUUUCUCUUUUCUGUCUGGAUAACACAUAGAUGGUGGACAAUCUAUUCCUAGCAUUUACUGAAUGUCUGUCUCUUACCAACUGAAUACCGUUGUGAAUAAUUUUAAAAUGGUGUAUAUUAUGAAAAAAAACCCGCAUGCUUUUUUUCAAUUCUCUUGUUGAUUGAUGACUACAACAGAAUAACCAUAUCUCCACCUUAAAACAAUCCCUGCUGCUUUGCUCUGUUCAAUCUGCAGCCUCCUAAUUUCACUUGCUUAUGCACUUCCCCAGACCACAGAACAGUAGUUCAUCUGACUCUCAAUUAAUGCUUGUGUUAUUUGCUUAAGAAUCUUUACCGGUAAAAAUGUACCUAUCCUUCUGAUCGUGCAUGCAGUUUUAAUAUUUGUUUUCCAUAGAUGAGCUAUUUGAGACGACCAUGAUAAGCAGUUGUCUAGCUGCACUCCCAGUUGUUUUGUUUCUACCACUUCCUCAAUUUGUACUCCUUCCAUACUUAAUUGUAUCCCCAUGCAGUGUUGGCCUUUUCCUGGUGGAACAGACCAACAUAACUUUGGUUUUCUUGGUGUUUAAAACAAGUUUGUUCCGGCAAACCCACUCCCUGAUAUUUUCCAAAUCUACUUGUAGAGCUUGCUGUACCUGUUGAACCGAUUGUCUUGGUGUAUAAAUUGUAGUAUCGUCUGCAAAUAUAGUAGCUUGAGAUUCAGAUAAGGCAGAAGGAAGGUUGUUGGUAUAUAUUGAGUAAAGAAGUGGCCCAAGGCAGCUGCCCUGUGGUAUUCCACAGUUUAACACAUGAGGGGAAGAAAAUGAACCACUGAUAUAGGUGGACUGUUUCCUGUCAGUUAGAUACCUCCUUAAAACCAUAAUGCAUGAAUUUUGUCAAAAUUAUUUCAUGAUCCACUAAAUCAAAUGCUGCACUAAAAUCUAAAAAUAGUACACCCACAAACCUGCCAUUAUCCAUAGCAUUGAGCCACUGGUCAGUCAUGUCAAUCAAUGCAGUGGUAGUGGAAUGGUUUUUGCGAUAAGCAUGCUGAUUAGCAGUAAUCAGAUCAUUCUUUUCCAUGUACUCCCAUAUUUGUCUACUCACAAUACCCUCCAAUAUCUUACUGAGUGAAGGGAGUAGACUAAUUGGUUGACUAUCGGCAGGAGUAAUGGGUUCUUUGCUAUCUCGGAAUAGGACACAGUUUUGCAUGCUUCCAUACAUUUGCAAACAUCCCCUUUUCCAGGGAUGAAUUAAAUAUAUAUCUCAGUGGAACUGCUAUCUGGGGAGCAGCACAGCAAAAUAAAAAUGGUCCAUAAGAUCAUAACCUGUAGAUUUACCAUCGGGUAAUGACUUCAAUAGCUUCAACACCUCUACUGACACCAUCUGUAGACAGAAAGAGCAGGUUUUGUUGCUCAUAAUAUGAUCAUCAAUCCAUUGGACAAUAGCUUGUUUGGAAGAAUAGGUGUUUACAUUGUUGCUCAGUAAAUUCAUUUUCUUUGUAAAAAAAAUCUUCAAAAUGAUUAGCAAUAUCAGUUGGUUUUGUUAUUGUUCUCCCGCCAACCUCCGCACUCAAUGGGCAUGAUGAGAUAAAUGUACCAAGUAAGCACUGAACUGUGUCCCAUACCUUUUUAGAAUCAUUUUUACAAUCAAUAAAAGCAUUUUUGUAAAAGCAUUUUUUCCCCUUACAAUUCAAUUUAACUGGUUAAUUACGUAAUGUUCUAUAAUUCUAUUCAUCAAUGUCUAGUUUAGAUUUGGCUGCUAAGACUUUUGCCAUAUUUCUUUGAGAAAAAGCCUCACCCAGUUCAUCAUCAAUCCAUGGAGAUGGACAAGCCCCAACUGUACUCUUUCUUACUGCAGCAUGAUGGUCCAUUACCUCAGAGAGCAUAUCAAUAAAACAUUCUGUAGCGUGAUUUAAAUCAUCCUCUAGAUAAAUCAGCUCCCAGGGUACAGCAGCCAAAUCCUUUUGAAAUAGCUCAUGAUUAAAUAUUUAAAAAUGUCUCUUGACCACAAUCCUUAGCGGUUUCUUUGGAACUUUGGUGUUCAUGGUUAUGGUCACAAUAUUAUGGUCUGUCCAGCCUACUGGCAUUGAUCUGGCUUUUAAGCAUUGCAAUGGUAUAUUACAGAAGAUCAGAUCAAUGCAUGUGUCUGAACGACGACCCAACUUAAUUGAUGAUCUAGUAGUAUCAUUAACCAUUUGUUUCAAACCACAGUUCUCGGCAUAUCUCAUCAAUUUAGUUCUAUUUGAAUUAUUAUGAUCCUUACAAUUUAUAUUAAAACCACCCAAGAAAAGUACAUCUCUGUUACUAUCUGUGGCCUGUUCAAACCCAGUGCAUAAGUCAUCCAGAUAGGCCACCUUAGAUCUAGGAUGUCUAUACACACAUCCUAACAAUAUGGGUGCCUGGUGAGACAGAUGUACUUGAGCCCAUAAUGCUUCUAUUUGUCAUCCCUCCUCUUAAAAGGUAUAUGAUUCUGAAUAUACAGUGCUACAGCCCCACCAUUCCUAUUCCUGUCCCUUCUCAGUAGACUAUAUCCUUGAUUCCUGUCCCUUCUCAGUAGACUAUAUCCUUGAUUCCUGUCCCUUCUCAGUAGACUAAAUCCUUGAAUGUUCAGUUGCCCAUAAUUUACAGAUGCAUCUAAAUGCAUUUCGGUCAAAGCCAAAAUAUGAAUAUUAUUUAUGUUGACCAAGUUAAAACCUCAUGUAUUUUGCUAGGAAGGCUACAUACAUUAACCUGAGCCAUAUGCAGCCCUUUCCUUAUCAAGUGAAGAUCAAUAGAGCAUGUAUUCGUUAUAGUUGAAGUUGUCAUGAUACACUAGAACACACAAACUCACAUUUGAACAUUGGAUUAAAAUAGCCAGGGAGUUACUCUAGUGUCCCGAUACAGUUGCCCGUUGAUGUAAAGUUUAUCCAUCACCAUGGAGCUUUGUUGAUUCAGGCAACGCUUUUCCUUCAUGAUGGGAUACAUUUUUUCUCUCCUUUCUUUGAUUUCGGUGGGAAAGUGAUCAUUCAUUCCAAAAUCAGUGUUUCUGAGUUCUCUGCCCCUGCUCUUCACCAUUUCCUUUUGCUUAAAAUUGUUAAAACAUGCAAUAAUAGCCCGUGGCCUAUUUCCAGAGGCCUUACCCGUUCUAUGGAGUGACAUUAUGCACAGCAUCAGUGGGCAGUUAAAGUUCAGUUGACAUAAAGUCUCGGACUGUGUCCUCACAGCCUCUGCUGUUGUCGUUCUCCGGUAUCCCUGAAAAUAUUAGAUUUCCCACAUUGAUCCACACUGUACAUCAAGCAAGGUUUCUUUAAGAUGUUUGUUCUCCCUUUGCACCUCCUCCACCUUGCCAUGAAUAGAGUCUACAGUACCUUUCAGCUUUGUGUUCCCUUUCCUUAGAUCAUCUAUCUGACAUUGGCUGAAUUCUAGACUGGCACAUAAUGCAUUGAUGUCCUCUUGUAAUAUAUCCAAGAUAUCAAGUGUGACAAGUCUUUCAUUGAUGGAUUUUAACAAGUCAACAUCCAUAUCAGUAAACCUCUCCCCACGCGCGCCCUCUUGCUUGGGGAUGGUUUGGUGAAAUCGUUGAUACCGCUUGGACAACUUGGUUUGUUUUGUUGAUUGGGUUUGUUGUCCUUAACAGUGCUUGAAUCCUCCGAAACCACCGACAUGUUUCUUUGAACUCGUAAGUGAAACGUUCAAGCUAUUCAAUGGAUUCUGAAUCAUCCAGCGUGUUUGCAGGCAGAGUAAAACAAAAGUAAGAAAACAAUGGAUGUAUCUUUCUGGUGUUGUGCCGAAAAUCUCCCCCCUGCCAGAAUUCUUCCCCUCCCCCUUACUGUGAACGCGCACUGCGCUACUAGUGCCUCCCCCGCGAUCAAACCGACAUAAAAAAUAAAAAUAAACGCAGCCUAAUGUGAUCAGAAAUCUCAACAGCAAGCAAGUCACAACAAUGAAGAAUUGAGUGUGUGCGCGUUCACACGAAGGGAGGGGGGGAUUCUGGCAGGGGGGAGAUUUUCGUCAUACCACACCGUCGGUAUUAUUAUUUUUUUAACAAUUGUGUACUCACUCGUGCCUGUUAUAUUGAAAUAUUUCCUAAAAACAACUAACCGCGACACGCAAAAUAGUGUUGUGUGUUCCAGCAGCGAAGGAUUGAUUUCUCCCAAGUGAGAAAAAGGGAGUGUUUGAAACAUAUGCUCUCUGAUGAAGGUGCACAUGGAUUAAAUUCAAACUUUGAAGACUGAGAUCGAGUCAUUGAAGGCAGACCAGCAGAAAGAGAAACAUUAUCGGAGGGCAGAGAUUCGGGUGACUGCUGAUGCAUUGGUCCAGAGCCAGGCGGAUUUGGCGGAGAGACAGGCAGAGAAUGAUGCGUCGAAGAGGGCGAGGAAUGAGAUGGAGUCACAAUCCUUGCCACAUGAUCAGCUGUGAGCUCUGGAACUCCACCUCCGACAGGCAGUCAACAUACCUGGCGGUUUCAUCAGGUUUUCGGUUCACCCUGACAUUUCCAUUCCUCUUCUGACAACAGAACUUGACCAACUGCUCACCAGGCACAGCAAGGGCCGUCCGGACCGUUAUGCUGUUCUGCUAUAGCCUAAUAAACAAAUGCAGUGGCUUAUAUUUUCAAAAUAGUUUAAAUGCUUUAUUAUCCAAAUGUAAAAGCAUAUACUGUACAGUACUGUAUUUCUUCAUCAGCAUCUUUAUGCUUUCGUUAAUAAAAUAAUGAUACAAAUACUC